UGCGCAGCUAACCAUGCAGUCGAGCGGUAACACAAGGGAGCUAGCUCCUGUGCUGACGAGCGGGGGACGGGUGAGUAACGCGUGGGAAUCUACCCAGUAGCGGGGGAUAGCCCGGGGAAACUCGGAUUAAUACCGCAUAAUCUCUUCGGAGGAAAGCAGGGGAUCUUCGGACCUUGCACUAUUGGAUGAGCCCGCGUCAGAUUAGCUAGUUGGUGGGGUAAAGGCCUACCAAGGCGAUGAUCUGUAGCUGGCCUGAGAGGGUGGUCAGCCACACUGGAACUGAGACACGGUCCAGACUCCUACGGGAGGCAGCAGUGGGGAAUAUUGCGCAAUGGAGGAAACUCUGACGCAGCCAUGCCGCGUGUGUGAAUAAGGCCUUCGGGUUGUAAAGCACUUUAAGCGAGGAGGAAAGGUUGUUGGUUAAUAACCAAUAGCUGUGACGUUACUCGCAGAAGAAGCACCGGCUAACUUCGUGCCAGCAGCCGCGGUAAUACGAGGGGUGCAAGCGUUAAUCGGAAUUACUGGGCGUAAAGCGUACGCAGGCGGUUUGUUAAGCGAGAUGUGAAAGCCCCGGGCUCAACCUGGGAACUGCAUUUCGAACUGGCAAACUAGAGUCUUGUAGAGAGAGGGUGGUGGAAUUUCCAAUGUAGCGGUGAAAUGCGUAGAGAUUGGAAGGAACAUCAGUGGCGAAGGCGGCCACCUGGACAGAUACUGACGCUGAGGAACGAGAGCGUGGGGAGCGAACAGGAUUAGAUACCCUGGUAGUCCACGCCGUAAACGAUGUCAACUAGCCGUUUGUGUCCUUGAGACGUGAGUGGCGCAGGCAGCUAACGCACUAAGUUGACCGCCUGGGGAGUACGGCCGCAAGGUUAAAACUCAAAUGAAUUGACGGGGGCCCGCACAAGCGGUGGAGCAUGUGGUUUAAUUCGAUGCAACGCGAAGAACCUUACCCGCUCUUGACAUCCUCAGAACUUUUCAGAGAUGAAUUGGUGCCUUGGGGAACUAUGAGACAGGUGCUGCAUGGCUGUCGUCAGCUCGUGUUGUGAAAUGUUGGGUUAAGUCCCGCAACGAGCGCAACCCUUAUCCUUAUUUGCCAGCACGUAAUGGUGGGAACUUUAGGGAGACUGCCGGUGAUAAACCGGAGGAAGGUGGGGACGACGUCAAGUCAUCAUGGCCCUUACGAGUAGGGCUACACACGUGCUACAAUGGUCGGUACAGAGGGUCGCAAAGCCGCGAGGUGGAGCUAAUCCCACAAAGCCGGUCGUAGUCCGGAUCGGAGUCUGCAACUCGACUCCGUGAAGUCGGAAUCGCUAGUAAUCGUAGAUCAGAAUGCUACGGUGAAUACGUUCCCGGGCCUUGUACACACCGCCCGUCACACCAUGGGAGUGGGCUGCACCAGAAGUAGAUAGCUAACCUUCGGAGGGCGUUACCACGGUUGUUAAGU
rnacentral:rRNA from 1 species